rnacentral:snRNA from 1 species
CGUCGGCCUGUGGGCUCCCCAUU